rnacentral:rRNA from 1 species
CCAAUAGCGUAUAUUAAAGUUGCUGCAGUUAAAAAGCUCGUAGUUGAAUUUCGGGAUCAGUACGCUGGUCGUGCCUCGGUAUGUACUGGUGUUACUGGUUCCUACCUUCUGACGAACCGUCAUGUCAUUAAUUUGGUGUGGCGGGAAAUCAGGACUGUUACUUUGAAAAAAUUAGAGUGUUUAAAGCAGGCUCGCGCUUGAAUACAUUAGCAUGGAAUAAUGAAAUAGGACGUUCGAUCCUAUUUUGUUGGUUUCUAGGAUUGACGUAAUGAUUGAUAGGGAUAGUUGGGGGCAUUAGUAUUCAAUUGUCAGAGGUGAAAUUCUUGGAUUUAUUGAAGACUAACUACUGCGAAAGCAUUUGCCAAGGAUGUUUUCAUUAAUCAAGAACGAGAGUUAGGGGAUCGAAGACGAUCAGAUACCGUCGUAGUCUUAACCAUAAACUAUGCCAACUAGGGAUCGGAUGAUGUUAUUUUUAAUGACUCAUUCGGCGCCUUACG